AGGGGUAUCGUCCAAUGGCUAGGACACAUGCCUUUGGCGCAUGUAAUCAGGGUUCGAAUCCUUGUACCCCUGCCG
rnacentral:tRNA from 1 species